AUGACACAAGGAGUCAUCCUUGUGCACAAGGAGUGGCUUUGUGCCCUCCAGGGGUUGAAGCGCUCACAGUGCUAGAGGACACCAGGAGAGGGCAGCAGAGAGCUGGAGAGACCUUUGGUAGAGGCCCCAGGAAGCAGGCUGAGAGCAAGAACCAGAAGCAGGGCAAACUGUACCCUACUACAGACUGAAAGGAAUCAAAGUUGAAGGCAUUGUCUGAGACCGGUCAAUAAUGCCUGCUGAAGAAAAGUAUUUCUCUCAAUUUCAAUCACAAGUAACCUCUAAGGAAGUUCUCAAGUCUGGUAAGUAGGCUAGACUUAAAACAUCAGACUCACUGGUGACAUUCUUGCUUCAAUAGAGACGUUGAAUACCAAAGAGGAAGCUUCUACAAGGGAAUCUGGAAUAUGAAUGACAGCAAAAGGUCAUGCACUGCAGCACAGAAGAAGGCAACCAGGUGAACAGUGAAAAUCUUAAAUUCUUCCACAUGAUAAUAUAAAAAAUAAUAAAAGUUGUUAUGUAUGGAACA
rnacentral:lncRNA from 1 species